AACGAACGCUGGCGGCAUGCCUAACACAUGCAAGUCGAACGAUACCUUCGGGUCUAGUGGCGCACGGGUGCGUAACGCGUGGGAACCUGCCCUUAGGUUCGGAAUAACUCCCCGAAAGGGGUGCUAAUACCGGAUAAUUUCUUCGGACCAAAGAUUUAUCGCCUUUGGAUGGGCCCGCGUUGGAUUAGCUAGUUGGUAGGGUAAAAGCCUACCAAGGCGACGAUCCAUAGCUGGUCUGAGAGGAUGAUCAGCCACACUGGGACUGAGACACGGCCCAGACUCCUACGGGAGGCAGCAGUGGGGAAUAUUGGACAAUGGGCGAAAGCCUGAUCCAGCAAUGCCGCGUGAGUGAUGAAGGCCUUAGGGUUGUAAAGCUCUUUUACCCGGGAUGAUAAUGACAGUACCGGGAGAAUAAGCGCCGGCUAACUCCGUG
rnacentral:rRNA from 1 species